CACGUAGGGUGCGAGCGUUGUCCGGAAUUAUUGGGCGUAAAGAGCUCGUAGGCGGUGUGUCGCGUCGGCCGUGAAAACCUGCAGCUUAACUGUGGGCUUGCGGUCGAUACGGGCAUCACUGGAGUUCGGCAGGGGAGACUGGAAUUCCUGGUGUAGCGGUGAAAUGCGCAGAUAUCAAGUGGAACACCAGUGGCGAAGGCGAGUCUCUGGACAUUUCCUGACGCUGAGGCACGAAAGCCAGGGGAGCAAACGGG
rnacentral:rRNA from 1 species